GAUGAACGCUGGCGGCGUGCCUAAUACAUGCAAGUCGAGCGAACAGACGAGGAGCUUGCUCCUUUGACGUUAGCGGCGGACGGGUGAGUAACACGUGGGUAACCUACCUAUAAGACUGGGAUAACUUCGGGAAACCGGAGCUAAUACCGGAUAAUAUUUCGAACCGCAUGGUUCGAUAGUGAAAGAAGGCUUUGUUAUCACUUAUAGAUGGACCUGCGCCGUAUUAGCUAGUUGGUAAGGUAACGGCUUACCAAGGCAACGAUACGUAGCCGACCUGAGAGGGUGAUCGGCCACACUGGAACUGAGACACGGUCCAGACUCCUACGGGAGGCAGCAGUAGGGAAUCUUCCGCAAUGGGCGAAAGCCUGACGGAGCAACGCCGCGUGAGUGAUGAAGGUCUUCGGAUCGUAAAACUCUGUUAUUAGGGAAGAACAAACGUGUAAGUAACUGUGCACGUCUUGACGGUACCUAAUCAGAAAGCCACGGCUAACUACGUG
rnacentral:rRNA from 1 species